rnacentral:ncRNA from 1 species
AUUACAGCAAUGAGAUGGAAAGUACGGAUGGACUGUUAUCUAACAGAGAGCUUGGGCAGCUGAAAACAAGCGAUAAAGGAAAUCUGGAAAAUGGCCAUUGAGCAGCGCUUCGAGUGAAUGAUUCAUAAGACAGCGACGGAUGCACCCGUUAUCGUGCUAGAGUAUAAUCGAUUGUUUCGACGUACUUGAUGAGGAUAUCUAUGUGAAUAGAUAUCAAAUAGAGGUGGUAGCACGCAAAAGCGUCCUCAAA